rnacentral:pre_miRNA from 1 species
AAUGGGAUAGCUGGGUCAAAUGGUGGUUCCAUUUCAAGUUUUCUGAGGAAUCUCCAUACUGCUUUCCAGAGUGGUUGCACCGAUUUACAAUCCCACCAGCAAU